rnacentral:lncRNA from 1 species
UUUCUUUUCUCUCAUCACAGGUGGACGGGAUGGACGAUGAAAGCCUAUGUUUCAUGGAGAGUCUGAGUGACAGCAACCAUGAUGAAAGUGAUACAGCAACCCUCGAUGAUGUUGUGGAGGCCGGCGGGAGUGAGAAGACGGAGGAAGAGGCCCUGGCUCGGGG